GGAAAUUUUUUUAUGGGUGCUUUAUUAAUUUUUCAUUUGGAAAAUUUUACCAAAUUGUACAAUCAUAGGCAAUGUUUUAAAGGGUUAAAGAUGACCUUGAGAAGUUUUGCCCAGAUGAGGCGAAAUGAGGCAUGAGCCUUGAGGUGAAAUGGGUGUAAGCCUUGAGGUGGAGCAAUGAGUUAACCAACCUCAAAUGCAGAACGAUGAAUAAGCCUCAACUUAGACCAAAAAAAAAAAAAAAACCUUUAGAAUAUUGCAAAAUAAGCAUCACAUAAACAUAGAAUGAUAAGAAAACCAUCAAGACCAUGUGAAGUGUUUGUUGUUUUCAGUACUGUGUAGUUAAAUUCCUCUUUUCGUCUUUGAUAAUCCAAUUCACUCUCAUGGCUCCAUCAAAUGAUCUUUAGUAUCACCAUCACUAUUAUUGCUCUAUUAUCCUCCCAUCAGUGUUGAUGUUUAACUCCAGUAGGUUGCUGCUGUCCUCUGAGGGCAAAAGACCAAGAGCCAGCCACUAUUCUCUUGCCCUCUAACAAAUCCUCUGUCUUCUUUUCAAUCUCUUUGUUUCUUUGCUCUUCUUUUCUCUUUCUUUCUUUCUUUCUUUCUUUCUUUCUUUCUUUCUCUUUUUUAAAGGGUAAGCCAAAGCCCAAGACCAAAU
rnacentral:lncRNA from 1 species